AACAUAUGUGUGCAUGUGUCUUUAUGGUAGAAUGAUUUAUAUUUCUUUGAAUAUAUACCCAGUAAUGGGAUGUCUAGGUCGAAUGGUAAUUCUUUUUUAAGUGCUUUGAGAAUUUGCCAAACUGCUUUCCACAAUGGCUGAACGAAUUUAUAUUCCCCCCAGCAAUGUGUAAGUGUUCCCUUUUCUCUACAACCUCAGUAACAUCUGUUAGCUUUUGACUUUUUAAUAGUAGCCAUUCUGACUGCUGGGAAAUUGUAUCAUUGUGGUUUGGGUUUGCAUUUCUCUGAUGAUUAGUGAUGCUGAGCAUUUUUUCAUAUGCUUGUUGGGGCCAUAUGUAUCUUCUUUUGUAACUUAAAUAUCCAUCAACAGUAGACUGGAUAAAGAAAAUGUGGUACAUAUACAGCCACAGUAUACUAUGCAGCCAAUGAGAUUAUGUCCUUUGCAGCAACAUGGAUAGAGCUGGAAGCUAUUAUACUAAGCAACCUAACACAGGAGCAGAAAACCAUAUACUGCAUGUUCUCGCUUGUAAGUGGGAGCUAAACACUGAGUACAUAUGGACACAAGGAAGAGAACAACAGACACCAGAGCCUGCUUGAGGGUGGAGGAUGGGAGGAGGAUGAGGAUAGAAAAACUACCUAUCAGGUACUAUGCUGAUUACCUGGGUGAUGAAAUAUACCAAAUCUCCAUGACACACAAUUUACUUAUGUAACAAACCGGCACAUGUACUCCAAACCUAACAUAAAAGUGAAGAAAAUUAACAAGUGUUAGUUUGUUUAAAACAUUCCUCCUUCAGAUAUUAAAAUAUUUACUCAGCUGAGUACAGUAAUGUAAAAUUUAACUGCUGCAGACAGACUCUAAAAUGCCCCCCAAUGAUCUCUGCCUUCUGACAUCUCCACAUUUGUACAAUUUCCUCCUCUUUAGUGAAGGCUGGACUAGAGAUUUGCUUUGAACAUAUAAAGUAAAACAAAGAUAAUAUAAUGUUACUUCUAUGACCAGGUUACAAGAAACUGCAACCUCCAUCUUGCUAGCAAAAGUUCCCUACUGCCUUUUCGUCUUUCCUGUUUUGAUAAAUCAAGUGGCCAUGUUGGAGAGACCUCAUCCCCUGUGGCAAGGAUCCGAGGGUUACCUCCAGCCCACGGCAAAAUAAUCAAUGAGGCGCACAGCUCAAAGUUCUUUCCAUUGGAUUUUAUGGAAAUUGAUCCUUCCUGCUUAUUGGUCCAAAGAACAUGCCGGCAUAAAAGUACUGGAUGAGUAUGAUGUCCUGUGGAAUGGAAAAACACUCAAGUUCUUGCAGACUGGACAGUGGAGAGUUACUACAGAGCAAAUGUGUACUUCACAUUGCUGUAUAUAAUAAUAAUAGUGAAGGUGUACUUCUGACCCCACCAGCCAAAAGCAAAAUGCUUCCAGUAGUCUUUACUAACAUUAUAGAGAAAAACUCGAUUGACAAACUGGCACCAGCAUGCCAGGUCUAGGGAACCUAUGAUCUGAAAUGACAACAGCAAUUGGAGUCACUGUCUGAUUAAUUUUAUAAUAAUUGCCUGUCAAUAUCCAGGACCUAUCUGCCUUCAUCACAAUAAAUAGCAAGUUAAAUGUAGUGAGAAUUACCAGUUUUGCAUCUUUCAAGUCCUAAUAUUAGCACCAAUUUUGUAAUUCCUUCAGAUAUGUCAUGUUGCUUUUGGUGUACUGUUUCUUAUAACAAAGGAACUUCUAUAACAAAGGAACUUCUAGUAUCUACCACUUAGUAUUAUCGUAAUACCACUUAGUAUUAUCACAAUUGCUCCAUAAGUUGGGAGACUAUGUGGAGAUUCUACCAGUAGAUGAAAGUCUGGCUAUUUCCUCUUCCUUAAUACACAGUCACCUGUGUAAGAAGCCAUACUUUUUUCAGGGAAAUCUGGGAAGAAUAUUUACAAAACAAAUUUUUGGAUGUGUAGUGAGUUCCUUCCUUAAAGAAACCUGAUUCAUUUAUAUUUGAGGAGCUCUGAGUCUGUGAAUGGGUUCAUGUCUGGAAAUUGACUGAGAAGCCAUGGCCCUCUGGUGUGGUGAUUAAUAUUAGACUUCAAUUCACCAGACCUAAAACUUCUGAAGUAAUAUUUUAAUAGGCAGCCCAUCUAUUUCACUCCUAGAGACAUAAUGAUCAUUAGCCAAUACCAGAGAUCUCUAUAGGGCAAACCUUUUGUUUCUGCUGGUUUUUGUUACUAAUUCUGUUUAUGUGGUGAAUCACAUUUACUGAUUUGCAUAUGUUAAACCAACAUUGCAUCCCAGAAAGAAAGCCUACUCUAUUGUGGUAAAUUAGCUUUUUGAUAUUGUCUUUCAAUUCUUGGAUUGUAUUACUGUUUUCCUUAAAUUGGGUUGAUAUAAUAAUUGAUAUAAUAAUUAAUAACAACAUGCUAUUAUCAUAAUUCUUAUAUUAUCAAUAAGGGAACUGAGGCAUAGAGCUUAAGUCAUACAGCUAAUAUGUAGAAAAGCUAAGAUUUGAACCCAGCUAAUCUGGGUUGAGAGUUCAUCCACUUGACCAGAACACAAUACUGCUUCCUAUUCUGACAGGCCUGGUGAAGAGACAGAACUCUUCUUAGAGUCAGAAGAGAUUGUAAAAUGUGAAGGAAGAAGUAGGCAGAGAGCAUUUCUUGCAAGAGGACAGAAUCAAAUAGAUGUAUUAGACCGUGCUUCAAAACUUUUAGCAAAUCUAUCUACCUGGGCAACAGGUUACCUGAGGCAGAUAUAAAAAUUAGAAAAAAAAAUCAAUGACAUUUACUGACUGAUUAAUAAGUGAAAUGAGAGGAAAGUUAAGUCUUUCUCGCUAGUAGAGUUUAAGUUUCCAUGACUGGAAGUAUGCUGCACUUGAUACAAACAGGCAAUUAACAUAAAAAAUCAGUAUUGUACUUUUCAGUUAUUUCUCCAAAUUGGUCUUCCUACCUCCUUUCACACUCUUACUUCUUAAAUUCAGCAUUCAAACUCUUCCCAGAAUAAUUUUCCAAAAAAACAAUAUGAGCCCUUUACUUCAUAUGCCUCAAAAAUUCAAUGGCUGCCUAUUGAGGACAGAGUAAAGUCAAAGCUCCUCUAUCUACUUGGCAUCUGUGAGUAUGUACUCUACUUUUCCUCCAGUUACCACCUAGUAGUAAAUUUGUCCUAAGUAUGGUGGAAUUACUAACAAAUGAACAGUGACACACACUACAGAACACUAGCCUAUUAUUUAUUUUUCAAACUUUUCAGGAAAUUGGGAAAUAAUUAAAACUUUUCCAUGAUAACUGAGCCAAAUUUUUCCAGGACCAACUGCCAAGACUGGCUUCUUUGGUAGCUGACAGGCAGUCAGAUAACUCAGUGGGGAAAAUGUAAAAUUCAUUCUUUCCUCACUGUCUUUGUAUGUGCUUGUGGGGGUUUUUUCCCCCUUCUUUGCCCUUUUCUGUUUUAUUGU
rnacentral:lncRNA from 1 species